rnacentral:rRNA from 1 species
GAAACGUUGCGCGGUAGGCCUACACAUGCUAGUCGAACGGCAGCACAGGAGAGCUUGCUCUCUGGGUGGCGAGUGGCGGACGGGUGAGGAAUACAUCGGAAUCUACUCUGUCGUGGGGGAUAACGUAGGGAAACUUACGCUAAUACCGCAUACGACCUACGGGUGAAAGCAGGGGACCUUCGGGCCUUGCGCGAUUGAAUGAGCCGAUGUCGGAUUAGCUAGUUGGCGGGGUAAAGGCCCACCAAGGCGACGAUCCGUAGCUGGUCUGAGAGGAUGAUCAGCCACACUGGAACUGAGACACGGUCCAGACUCCUACGGGAGGCAGCAGUGGGGAAUAUUGGACAAUGGGCGCAAGCCUGAUCCAGCCAUACCGCGUGGGUGAAGAAGGCCUUCGGGUUGUAAAGCCCUUUUGUUGGGAAAGAAAUCCAGCUGGCUAAUACCCGGUUGGGAUGACGGUACCCAAAGAAUAAGCACCGGCUAACUUCGUGCCAGCAGCCGCGGUAAUACGAAGGGUGCAAGCGUUACUCGGAAUUACUGGGCGUAAAGCGUGCGUAGGUGGUUAUUUAAGUCCGUUGUGAAAGCCCUGGGCUCAACCUGGGAACUGCAGUGGAUACUGGAUGACUAGAAUGUGGGUAGAGGGUAGCGGAAUUCCGGGUGUAGCAGUGAAAUGC